rnacentral:rRNA from 1 species
UCGGGAAUUUUGGGCAAUGGGCGAAAGCCUGACCCAGCAACGCCGCGUGAAGGAUGAAGUAUUUCGGUAUGUAAACUUCGUAAGAAUAGGAAGAAUAAAUGACGGUACUAUUUGUAAGGUCCGGCUAACUACGUGCCAGCAGCCGCGGUAAUACGUAGGGACCAAGCGUUGUUCGGAUUUACUGGGCGUAAAGGGCGCGUAGGCGGCGUGGUAAGUCAUCUGUGAAAUCUCCGAGCUUAACUCGGAACGGUCAGAUGAUACUGCUGUGCUAGAGUACAGAAAGGGCAAUCGGAAUUCUUGGUGUAGCGGUGAAAUGCGUAGAUAUCAAGAGGAACACCUGAGGCGAAGGCGGGUUGCUAGGCUGAUACUGACGCUGAGGCGCGAAAGCUAGGGUAGCAAACGGGAUUAGAUACCCACGUAGUCCCUGAGCGGGCUGGCAAGGCGCAU